rnacentral:rRNA from 1 species
UACGAAGGUCCCAAGCGUUAUCCGGAUUUAUUGGGUUUAAAGGGUGCGUAGGCGGGUUAUUAAGUCAGUGGUGAAAGCCUUCAGCUUAACUGAAGAAUUGCCAUUGAUACUGAUGAUCUUGAGUAUGAUUGAGGUGGGCGGAAUGUGUCAUGUAGCGGUGAAAUGCUUAGAUAUGACACAGAACACCGAUUGCGAAGGCAGCUCACUAAGUCAUAACUGACGCUGAUGCACGAAAGCGGUGGGAGCAAACAGG